CCUACGGGUGGCAGCAGUGAGGAAUAUUGGUCAAUGGGCGUGAGCCUGAACCAGCCAAGUAGCGUGAAGGAUGACUGCCCUACGGGUUGUAAACUGCUUUUAUAAAGGAAUAAAGUGAGGCACGUGUGCCUUUUUGUAGGUACUUCAUGAAUAAGGAUCGGCUAAUUCCGUGCCAGCAGCCGCGGUAAUACGGAGGAUCCGAGCGUUAUCCGGAUUUAUUGGGUUUAAAGGGAGCGUAGAUGGGUUGUUAAGUCAGUUGUGAAAGUUUGCGGCUCAACCGUAAAAUUGCAAUUGAUACUGGCAGGCUUGAGUACAGUUGAGGUAGGCGGAAUUCGUGGUGUAGCGGUGAAAUGCUUAGAUAUCACGAAGAACUCCGAUUGCGAAGGCAGCUUACUAAACUGCCACUGACAUUGAUGCUCGAAGGUGCGGGUAUCAAACAGGAUUAGAUACCCUAGUAGUC
rnacentral:rRNA from 1 species